CCUACGGGGUGCAGCAGUGAGGAAUAUUGAUCAAUGGCCGAGAGGCUGAACCAGCCAAGUCGCGUGAGGGAAGACGGCCCUACGGGUUGUAAACCUCUUUUGUCGGGGAGCAAAGCGAACCACGUGUGGUUCAUUGAGAGUACCCGAAGAAAAAGCAUCGGCUAACUCCGUGCCAGCAGCCGCGGUAAUGCGGAGGAUGCGAGCGUUAUCCGGAUUUAUUGGGUUUAAAGGGUGCGCAGGCGGAGGUGCAAGUCAGCGGUCAAAUUGCGGGGCUCAACCCCGUACUGCCGUUGAAACUGCAUCCCUUGAGUGCGCGAGAAGUAUGCGGAAUGCGUGGUGUAGCGGUGAAAUGUAUAGAUAUCACGCAGAACUCCGAUUGCGAAGGCAGCAUACCGGCGCGCAACUGACGCUCAUGCACGAAAGCGUGGGUAUCGAACAGGAUUAGAUACCCCUGUC
rnacentral:rRNA from 1 species